rnacentral:rRNA from 1 species
GGGCCCUACGGGAGGCAGCAGUGGGGAAUAUUGCACAAUGGGGGAAACCCUGAUGCAGCGACGCCGCGUGAGUGAAGAAGUAUUUCGGUAUGUAAAGCUCUAUCAGCAGUGAAGAAAAUGACGGUACCUGACUAAGAAGCCCCGGCUAACUACGUGCCAGCAGCCGCGGUAAUACGUAGGGGGCAAGCGUUAUCCGGAUUUAUGGGGUGUAAAGGGAGCGUAGACGGCAGAGCAAGUCUGA